AUUGAACGCUGGCGGCAUGCCUUACACAUGCAAGUCGAACUGCAGCACGGGUGCUUGCACCUGGUGGCGAGUGGCGAACGGGUGAGUAAUACAUCGGAACGUACCUUAUCGUGGGGGAUAACGCAGCGAAAGCUGUGCUAAUACCGCAUACGCCCUGAGGGGGAAAGCGGGGGGACCCGAAAGGCCUCGCGCGAUUGGAGCGGCCGAUGUCGGAUUAGCUAGUUGGUAGGGUAAAGGCCUACCAAGGCGACGAUCCGUAGCGGGUCUGAGAGGAUGAUCCGCCACACUGGGACUGAGACACGGCCCAGACUCCUACGGGAGGCAGCAGUGGGGAAUUUUGGACAAUGGACGAAAGUCUGAUCCAGCCCAUUCCGCGUGCAGGAUGAAGGCCCUCGGGUUGUAAACUGCUUUUGUACGGACGAAAGGUUUCUCUUAAUACGAGGAGCUCAUGACGGUACCGUAGAAUAAGCACCGGCUAACUACGUGCCAGCAG
rnacentral:rRNA from 1 species